CAGUCGAGGGGCAGCGGGGUAGUGCUUGCACUACUGCCGGCGACCGGCGCACGGGUGAGUAACACGUAUGGAACCUGCCCGCAGCAGGGGGAUAAGCGGAAGAAAUUCCGUCUAAUACCGCGUAACAACGUUGGGAGGCAUCUCCCGAUGUUUAAAGAUUUAUCGGCUGCGGAUGGCCAUGCGGCGCAUUAGCUAGUCGGCGGGGUAACGGCCCACCGAGGCGACGAUGCGUAGGGGUUCUGAGAGGAAGGUCCCCCACACUGGUACUGAGACACGGACCAGACUCCUACGGGAGGCAGCAGUGAGGAAUAUUGGUCAAUGGCCGAGAGGCUGAACCAGCCAAGUCGCGUGAGGGAAGACGGCCCUACGGGUUGUAAACCUCUUUUGUCGGGGAGCAAAGAGAGUCACGUGUGACUCAUUGAGAGUACCCGAAGAAAAAGCAUCGGCUAACUCCGUGCCAGCAGCCGCGGUAAUACGGAGGAUGCGAGCGUUAUCCGGAUUUAUUGGGUUUAAAGGGUGCGCAGGCGGAGGUGCAAGUCAGCGGUCAAAUUGCGGGGCUCAACCCCGUACUGCCGUUGAAACUGCAUCCCUUGAGUGCGCGAGAAGUAUGCGGAAUGCGUGGUGUAGCGGUGAAAUGCAUAGAUAUCACGCAGAACUCCGAUUGCGAAGGCAGCAUACCGGCGCGCAACUGACGCUCAUGCACGAAAGCGUGGGUAUCGAACAGGAUUAGAUACCCUGGUAGUCCACGCAGUAAACGAUGAACACUAACUGUUCGGCCAGAAUGAUGGCUGAGUGGUACAGCGAAAGCGUUAAGUGUU
rnacentral:rRNA from 1 species